rnacentral:rRNA from 1 species
AACGAACGCUGGCGGCAUGCCUAACACAUGCAAGUCGAACGAGACCUUCGUGUCUAUUUGCGCACGUGUGCGUAACGCGUGGGAACCUGCCCUUAGGUUCGGAAUAACUCCCCGAAAGGUGUGCUAAUACCGGAUAAUGUCUUCGGACCAAAGAUUUAUCGCCUUUGGAUGGGCCCGCGUUGGAUUAGCUAGUUGGUAGGGUAAAAGCCUACCAAGGCGACGAUCCAUAGCUGGUCUGAGAGGAUGAUCAGCCACACUGGGACUGAGACACGGCCCAGACUGCUACGGGAGGCAGGAGUGGGGAAUAUUGGACAAUGGGCGAAAGCGUGACAAAGCAAUGCCGCGUGAGUGAUGAAGGCCUUAGGGUUGUAAAGCUCUUUUACACGGGAUGAUAAUGACAGUAACGGGAGAAUAAGCUCCGGCUAACUACGUG